GUUCGCUUCAGCUGCACAUAUACUAAAAUUAAAAUGAAACAGAGAAAAUUAGCAUGGCCCCUGUGCAAGGAUGACACGCAAAUUCGUGAAGAGUUCCAUAUUUUA
ensembl:snRNA U6 U6 spliceosomal RNA